CCCAAUUCUAAAUAUGUCAGAGGCAAAAUGUGACAAUUAUAACAGCUAAGUGAACUUUAAUUUGCCAUGACAGUCCUGUAAUGGUGACUGAUAUCUAACGAGAGAUUACCUCUCAGUGCCCAAGUCUCAUUAUCUUAGAGGCAGUAUAUGGUUGACAGUGGAAAACUAGUAUUAGUUAGGGUAGCUAUGAUGUCAAUUUCAGUUUGUGGACGUCCAUUAAUCACCCGUGGAAGUUGUCACGCAUGCCACACCUCCCCGGAAAUUGCCUUGCUGUUCCAAUGAGUAUGUGUAACGGAACCGCUUGCACCCUGACCGGGUACCCUCCGUUGAUGGAGCUCCUAGUGCUUCCCGAGGACUCAAAGCACCCCGCCAGCUUGGUUGGGGUCUCGCCGUCUCCACCCACUCUGGACCCAAGACCAGGGUCCAGCUUCCAGUAGGUCAACCUCUCCGAAUCCCAGCAGAGCGUAGUGAUUAUAGCAAUCCCCAGAGUGUAGUUCUCCAAUCCCCCAAACAUGAAAGUACAAGAUGAUCUGACUCUAAUGAGCGUUUAUUACUCCUUAUAUACAAGUUUUUCAGGCCAGAGGCACACCCCCUGGACCUGGUGGUAAACUGUGACAAAAGGGACACAAACCAAUGGGAACAUAAUAACACUCCCACAUACACAGUAAAAUCCCUUUCCCUCUAUCCUGGAGAUAAUUGGCUUAAGGCACUGCAGUAAAC